AACGAACGCUGGCGGCAUGCCUAACACAUGCAAGUCGAACGAGACCUUCGGGUCUAGUGGCGCACGGGUGCGUAACGCGUGGGAACCUGCCCUUAGGUUCGGAAUAACUCAGAGAAAUUUGAGCUAAUACCGGAUAAUGUCUUCGGACCAAAGAUUUAUCGCCUUUGGAUGGGCCCGCGUAGGAUUAGCUUGUUGGUGGGGUAAUGGCCUACCAAGGCGACGAUCCUUAGCUGGUCUGAGAGGAUGAUCAGCCACACUGGGACUGAGACACGGCCCAGACUCCUACGGGAGGCAGCAGUGGGGAAGAUUGGACAAUGGGCGAAAGCCUGAUCCAGCAAUGCCGCGUGAGUGAUGAAGGCCUUAGGGUUGUAAAGCUCUUUUACCAGGGAUGAUAAUGACAGUACCGGGAGAAUAAGCUCCGGCUAACUCCGU
rnacentral:rRNA from 1 species